rnacentral:rRNA from 1 species
GACGAACGCUGGCGGCGUGCCUAAUACAUGCAAGUUGAGCGCUGAAGGUUGGUACUUGUACCAACUGGAUGAGCAGCGAACGGGUGAGUAACGCGUGGGGAAUCUGCCUUUGAGCGGGGGACAACAUUUGGAAACGAAUGCUAAUACCGCAUAAAAACUUUAAACACAAGUUUUAAGUUUGAAAGAUGCUAUUGCCUCACUCAAAGAUGAUCCCGCGUUGUAUUAGCUAGUUGGUGAGGUAAAGGCUCACCAAGGCGAUGAUACAUAGCCGACCUGAGAGGGUGAUCGGCCACAUUGGGACUGAGACACGGCCCAAACUCCUACGGGAGGCAGCAGUAGGGAAUCUUCGGCAAUAGACGAAAGUCUGACCGAGCAACGCCGCGUGAGUGAAGAAGGUUUUCGGAUCGUAAAACUCUGUUGGUAGAGAAGAACGUUGGUGAGAGUGGAAAGCUCAUCAAGUGACGGUAACUACCCAGAAAGGGACGGCUAACUACGUG